rnacentral:rRNA from 1 species
GACGAACGCUGGCGGCGUGCUUAACACAUGCAAGUCGAACGGAAAGGCCCUGCUUUUGUGGGGUGCUCGAGUGGCGAACGGGUGAGUAACACGUGAGUAACCUGCCCUUGACUUUGGGAUAACUUCAGGAAACUGGGGCUAAUACCGGAUAGGAGCUCCUGCUGCAUGGUGGGGGUUGGAAAGUUUCGGCGGUUGGGGAUGGACUCGCGGCUUAUCAGCUUGUUGGUGGGGUAGUGGCUUACCAAGGCUUUGACGGGUAGCCGGCCUGAGAGGGUGACCGGGCACAAUGGGACUGAGAGACGGCCCAGAAUCCUACGGGAGGCAGCAGUGGGGAAUAUUGCACAAUGGGCGGAAGCCUGAUGCAGCAACGCCGCGUGCGGGAUGACGGCCUUCGGGUUGUAAACCGCUUUCGCCUGUGACGAAGCGUGAGUGACGGUAAUGGGUAAAGAAGCACCGGCUAACUACGUG